rnacentral:lncRNA from 1 species
AGCCUACCGCCGAUACAGCCACACCAGCAGAUGGAGGAACACAGCUGUGGCAGAGAACAGGUGGAGGGGGAGGAGAGAGGAGCAGGAAUGGAGAUGAUACCAAGAUUUGAGAUUUUGUUCCACAUGGACCUUAUGGAACAUGCAGGCCUACAUAAUGUGCAAACAUGUGGAAUAAAGGAGAACCAUGUGUCGUGGGUCAGCCUCCCAUUCACCUCACAGGUGGUCAGUCACAUCUGCUCUCUCCCACACCCACACCCACACACACACACACACACACACACACACACACACACACACACACACACACACACACACACACACUCACACACUGUUGUGAAUCUUGCAGUACAGCGCCCCCUGACGAAGAUGUUGUCUCACUACAAUUUAUUGUAUGCGUUUACAAAAAUUCGGCUGUUUUUCGAACUACAGACUACAUCAAGUUGUGCAUCUUGAGGACAUAAAGAGUUUCCUAGGUUUAUAAAUGUGCGUGAGCUAGAGGAAAAUAACUACUGUAAAUGUGAUCUUAUAAAUUAAAUGUAUAUAUUAGGCCUAUAUAUAUAUAUAUAUAUAUAACAUUUUAGAUAUAGAGGUUCAACGUUUUAAUUAACCAUAAUUAACCAUAAUUAACCAUUACAGUACACAUACUAUUCUAUCAGACGUUCCUACUAAAUGAUUUGCUUUAUGGCAGAUAGCUUAAUAACAACAUGGCAAAAAAAAUGACUACUGUUCAGUGGAACAGUAUAAUGUAAUAUUUGCUCUGAAUCUUCAUUUUGACAGGCUGUAGAAAUCACAAAAUGAACUAUGAACGAAGACAGUAUCUCUUUUAUAUCUUUUCUGUGUGUUGUGUGACUUCGAAUAAUGAUUCAAAGAAAGCGCUAUUACCCAUUUUAUGAGGUCUAUUGAUGUUACCUGCUGUCACUGAGUUUGUCAUUAUUUAGCUUUGAGUGACAUCUAGUGGCAUUUGAGUGAAAAUAUCUUCACCAUAACGGCACAAGGCAACGUGCAUGGACCGUUGUAAUCCACCAGGUGGAAAUAGAGUCAAGGCCUGUAUUCACAGUCAUUAGAUUAGAUUAAACAUUUAGUCUCUGCGUGUGUGUGUGUGUGUGUGUGUGUGUGUGUGUGUGUGUGUGUGUGUGUGUGUGUGUGUGUGUGUGUGUGUGUGUGUGUGUGUGUGUGUGUGUGUGUGUGUGUGUGUGUGUGUGUGUGUGUGUACACAUGAACACAGGAAAAUACUAACUUAAUAUCAAACAUUGGAUUCCAAACUUUUUGGCAACAUAUUAAAGCAAAUUCAGCAACAUCAUCCACAAUUAUAUGAUUAAAAAUGAAAGAAUUACAUAUAACAGAGGAUGGAAUUGUGUCAGCGCUAAAAACGAAAGACCACUAAACAUAUGUUGUUUAAAGAAAAAGGUUUUAGAAAAAACUAAUUAUAAUUCUUAAAUAUAAAGUAUUACUAUUGUACUAGUUACAUUUUUGCACAAUUCUAUUUGAAUAAGAGAUCAUAAUUAUGUCAUAUCAUAAUGCCAUAUCGCUGCCAUAUUAUUGCAACAUGUUUUUCAAGUAGCUAUAACAAGCGUUCGUAAAUAAUGAUUAAAAAAAUAACAUGUGUCGUCUUUUGAUGGCGUCAUCACGGGGAUUUUCCGGAUACGUCGCACGGGGCUUCUCCAUAACCGCGUUAGCUUAAAUCCUCAAAUAUAAAAACAGUGGCUUUAUUAACAAACCAACCUCAAAGGAGUACAGGGUAAGAUAAACGAAGAGGACAGCUUUCUCACAUGGCGACGAAUGGACAAAAUAACAAAGCGUCGGUGUGAACAGCGA